UUCAUUAAAUUUUUGCACAAAAUCCUUCUUAGAUGAUGACAUUUUAGUCUCCUCAGUUCUGACUAUUUUCAUUUCCUUUUAGAAUGAGAUGUCUUAAGGCUACUGUCACUUUAAAUCCAAAUAAGCUGCUUCUGGCCACACCCCCAACUCAAAAUGAAAAUGGCUGC